GUCAAAUCUACUCUCUCGAAGGACUUCAGGUGCUGCCACCGCCUUUUCAACGAUGGCACCUAUGAACCUGGUGCUGUGAAGUUAGCUUCACUUGAAAGUGUGUUUGAGAAAUGGAAGAAAACCCUGCAUAGAAGGGGCAAGGAGCUGAGCACUUGGGGUCUGCUUCCUGGGCUUCUGCCCAGGUAAAACAGGGAAAUGGAGCCCGGGAGUGAAGAGAGUGGGAUGGAGGUGAUCAGCAAACGCAUCCUGGAGGAGGAAGUAAGACCCUGGCUGCAGCUUGAAAGCAGCCACUUAGUAGAUGAAGGAACAUCGUCAGUGGCCCAGAGCAUCUCUGCCCACCAGGACCUCUCAGUCAAUGGUACUUUCAAGUGAUGCAAGAUGGAUAGGCUGGAGGAAGUACUGAAACUCCUGGGAGGGGGGAGGAUUUUAAGAUGUAUUGGGUCUUAGUGGUUUUGUCAAUUACUGGGCUGAACACAGGAAGUUU
rnacentral:lncRNA from 1 species